GAUGAAGAACGUAGCGAAAUGCGAUACUUGGUGUGAAUUGCAGAAUCCCGUGAACCAUCGAGUCUUUGAACGCAAGUUGCGCCCGAAGCCGUUAGGCCGAGGGCACGCCUGCCUGGGCGUCACACGUCGUUGCCCCCCCAUCUACUCCUUCGGGAUUGCGGGGGGCGGAUGAUGGCCUCUCGUGCGCCUCGUCGCGCGGUUGGCCUAAAUGCCAAGUCCUCGGCGACGCACGCCACGACAAUCGGUGGUUGCGAAACCUCGGUUGCCUGUCGUGUGCGGUCGUCGCGCAUCGAGGGCUCGAAAAAAUUGCCGGGCUUCGGCUCGACUUUCAACGCGACCCCAGGUCAGGCGGGGUUACCCGCUGAAUUUAAGCAUAUCAAUAAGCGGAGGA
rnacentral:misc_RNA from 1 species